rnacentral:piRNA from 1 species
UAGAAGCCUAGAUACUUCAAGCCAAACUG